GCUCCCUGUGAGGAAAGACCCAAAUGCAUGUUUCUGUGGUGUACUCACAACAAAACAAUUAAAAUUGAAAGCUUGUUUUACUGUUGUCUUUUUCUAAUGUGUGAGUGAACUGUAAUGCAGCCAACCAAUAUUCUGUUCACACUGUGUCAGAGCAACAGGUUAGAAAGCAGCUUUUAGCUUUAUGCAGGAGGUUGAGCUCAGCAAUCUUUAUUUAAACAGCUUUGUUCAAUGGGGACAAAGGAUUGUGUUUUGGCAUUUUAAUUUAAUCUUGAUAAUCUUCCUUUUUUCUCUCUCUCUCUCAAAGGAUCAAGAGGAAAUGCAGUAAUUUUCAACUUCACACGAAGGCUAGUUGUACAAACACAGCUGAAAACCUCAGGAAACACAUGCAUUUUCCUCAGAGAAAUGGAGUCAAGUAAUGUUCUGCUGGCAAUAGACUCCUGGAUAAUUGGGAAGAUGUUAGGCACAGCAGUUUGGGCAGCAGGGUGUUGACACUGAUAGCACUGUUCAGUUUGGCUGUCUUAGGUGAAUGACUCCUGUAAUGUAGAAAGCAGAAAUUAUUAACCAUAGUACAGGAAAUAAUUGAAAGAACACAGGCUGCUUUGGAGAAUUAAGGAAUGGCUCUUAGAUUGCGAAAGGAUACUUUGUAAAUUUGUUUAAUUUACACCUUACCAAGAUCUAAUUAAAUCAUGGCAGCAACUUUUGAUUUUUUCCUCUUUGCUUUUCAUUUGAGUUUAUUUCUUAGACAUAUUUAAAACACAGGAGAAUAAGGAGAGUUCUCUUGACACUUAAGACUUUGCUUGCAUUUCUGUCCUUGUUCAUUCUAUAUGUAUCCAGAGUUUCUAAGAGUUUCAGGUCAGGACUUUGGUUCUCUUUCUUAAUUAAGGAUUUAAUUGUUAUACUUGAAUUCUUCUCAUUCCACCUUUUUGCAGGAGGCUUAUUCUAUUUUACUUAGCUACUUUUAGCCCUAUUUAAGUGUUAAUAAGUGAAGUCCCUUUUGAGAGGAUAAGAGUCUAAUUUAUUAAUAAGAGAGCAUUUUGGGAUUUUCUGCUUGCAUUUUCUUUUAACUCUCUUGUACUUUCCAAAUCUCGAAAGGCCAUAGCUCCAAAGAAGUCAAUUCUAAAUAAGUCCUGACCAUAGUUAUGGUAUUGUCCUCCCUUGAAGAAUGAGAGACCAACCAUUUGUGAGUGUUUACAGCUGGACCUUCUGAAGGGCAUCAUCUUUCCUUAAUGGCAAAAUGCAUCAGAAUCACAAGCUGUGACAGAAGUGCCUGAGGGUUCCCAUUGCAGUGGUAAAGUGGAAUAUCUGAUGAAAUUUGCUUGUGAAAUGCAAGGCUGCCUUUUUUGUCAUGGAGGUUACUGAGAGAGAACUCUGAAGUCUUGCACUUUUUGUAUUGAGUAGCAAACUCUCAAAGUGCAAAAAGCUACCCUGGAGUGAUGAGGUUGUUCAUGUGUGGGCUAAAACAUCCUUGUGAGGCCACCUCAUUGUCUUAUGCUCUAAUUCUGGAAGUCCUAAUAUUUCCCAAGUUCACAAGUUGGGUGAACAUUUGCUUUAAGCUAUUGUGUUGAUCCCUAGGAACAGCAGAGGGGGGUGCCCCCUUGGAUCUCCAUUAUUGAUUGAAGCACUCUCCCUCACUGUACCUCAGUGAAGUGUAGCCAAGAACAACAAGAUAAGAAUUAAUGUAAGUGACAAGGGAGUUCCUCUGACUCUGCCAGUGCACAUUAGCCUGGCUGAAGAGAAAAAGAAGCUGAUACUUGAGUCUUUUGAGUUGUGAAGGGUCUGGUCAGUCCUUGAAGGGGAAGCACAUGAAUGGCCCAGUUGUCAUCGCAUUUUAUUUUUCCUCCAGCUUUGACUAAUGGUGCAUUUCCUCUGGCCUCCCACGGGCCAUCCGUGGCUGACUUGCUUUGUCACUCUUCACAUGGAGUUGCUGCCUUUACUGUCCACGCUGUUCCCAUGGCGGGAACCCGGUGUCCUCUAAAGAAACGCACAGGCACAAACCAUCUGUCAUUCUUCCACUCCUCUUUCAAGCCACCACUUCCCAUAUUGUGUGGCCUUGCAGGCUGAAAGCAAUCUGCCUCCCCCUGCAUGCCUGGAGUACAUGCCAUCUCUCACUCCACUUGAUAAGGGACCUCCCGACACUCUGCCUGUAAAAAUACUAAUGGGCAUCUCCCAGUUGAUAACCAGCUCUGCCUUUUUAUUGUGCUCAUGGGAUGAUAAGUUGUCUGGAUCAACAAGGCAUUGUCCCUUUUUCAGGCAAAGUUAUUAGGGUCAAAUUAGGUGUGAAUUGUGAAACUAAUCAUUGCAACCACAAAUAAUUUGUAGUGUGCUAUGGAAAAAGGAGAAUAAAAGAGACAGUAGAAGAGGAAAUUAUUGGAGGGCACAAAGAAACAAAGUGAUUGGGAAGAAGGGAGGAGAGAUUGGCUAACAGUGCUGUACAGGAUCUUGAGCUAGGCCUGUAGGCUGUGCUGGAUUUGGUCUCAUGCACCUGUGGACUGUGAAGAACCUUGUUCUAUUAUUUCAAUGUCAUUUGAGAGUCUGAAUUAAUUCACACGCAAGAUGUCUUAGAGAGAGGAAGAUACCUGACUUUGCACAAGAAACACUGCUUUUAUGCUUAUGUAAGUUGAUUAUAUUGCUUACACAUCUCCAGUUAAUUUGAAUCACGUGAAUCUAGUCUCUGCUGGAAAAUAAUAAUGCAACAUCUACUGAAAAGCCUCAAUUUUAUUUUCUGGGGUGAGAGGCCUGAGUUUUGUGCUGAAAAUACAAAUCUGAAGGUGUGCUGAAUUUGCUUGGAAGUGCUGCAAAGCUAUUCUCAUUUCCUGUAACUCUUGCAAGGUUGGCCCUUUUCCAUGGCUAAGCCCCAAUUCUUAGACAAUCAGAAUGAAGUGGCAGGAGAAAUUUACCCUCUUUCAUCUUCUAGUAUAUCUAGGAAAGCAAGAACCAAGGCUUUAAACCAUUAAUUCCUAAUUCUGUGACUUGAUUUGCUGCAGUAGAAAGUGUAUUUUAAGGGUUUGGUCUUCUCUUACCAAAGCUAAUUAUUAAUUGCAUCUUCUUUUAUCCAGCCACUGCCACAAGGAAUGACUGCCCUCUGUGCUGAUGACAGAUCUGCCCCUCUGCUAUCAGACACUGUGCUUUUGCCAUCUCAGUUUCCUGAGGAUUGCCUCUGCCUGGGAGCCAGUGGAGCAGCCGUGUUGGAGGCAAAGCAGUUCUCUGAGGAAGAUGAUGAUGGAUGACAGAGUGAUUCCCUUCCACGUGGCUGGGGCACUGAGGCUUCUGCUGAGUUCUGAGUUUGAUGCACUGGAAGGAGCACCUGAGGUCAACUUCGGCUGCUCAAGUGCAGGUGAUGAAACCAUCCAGACAAGAGAGUUCCAAAGAAACAUCUGGGAAGAUUCUUCAGCAGUGCUGGCAGACAUUUUACUCAGUGGAGUAAAUCUCUUCCUGGGAACUGAUGGCUCUUAAUCCAAGGAUGGACUGAUUUUUUUCCUUCUGGAUACUGGUGAUGUGGAAGAGAAGUCUGCAGCUUUGUCUGCUGCAUGCUGAUUGACUGAGAGACAACCAUGGCAUGUGUUAGCAGAUGUUCCUUGACAGGUUAAUGGGGUACAUGGACAGGAGACUUCUGCUUUAUCCCCUGCAGCCCUGACAAUUUGGGGUGUUGCCUGGCUCAGCUCCUAGACAUGACACGAAGGAAUAACUUGCACUUCUCCUCAGUGAUUUCCUGAUGCUACUGGUGGAUUACAGAUGUGAUUCACUCCAAAAGGUACUGCUGAGUGCCCCCAGGUACCUGAUCUGCCAAGCAAAGCUGGUAGCAUCAGGUCCAUGAGAAUUCCCUCUCCUGAGGAGAGGCCAGUGCCAGCUCUGACAUCGAACAGUGCAGAGUUUUGUUAGAAGCCAACUGAAAACAUGGUGCUGUUACUAUCUGACACCAGCUGAAACAAAAGCCAAACGUUGAUGAAUGUCUGAUUCUAAAAGUAAACAGUUUGAUUUUUUUUUUUUCUUUGCAAGUCAGGGGCCCUCUAGGGUUUUAUCUGAUUUUGGCAAUCUCCUGCACAUUUUGGGGCCUGGAGCAUGGUUUUAAUUGUUACAUCACAAAAGUUGCCAAAUAAUGUUGGAUGCUACUUAAAAACUCUCUCAAUUUUAUGGAACUUCUCAACGGCUUGACUAAUACAAUAAUUACUGGAACUCGGCUAUGUUGCCUAGUGGCAAAUGGAAUUUUUUCAUAAUGAUCCUGUCUGUCGUUAAGAGCAGGAUUUGUUCUUUCUCUCAGUGGGAGAGAGGCCAGAAAGCCAUGGUAUCUGUCUUUUUUAAUGACAGCCAACAGCAAACGGAUAAAAUAAUCAAUUAUAUCCACAGAUAGGUAGAUAAAGUAUAAUUUAUCAUGUCAAAAACAAAAAUGUUUUUAAUUGGGCUGUUAAUCAUUUUGUAAUUUUAACUAAAGAGAUGGGGACUCUGCUUUGUGCUCAGACAUCACUAAUAUUUCAUACAUUUUCUGAUCUUAUUAUAGCUUUAAUAAUAGUGUUUACCAUUAAGUGCCAAAAUAUAAAAUACAAUUUCUACUCUCAUUAGCUGGAGCCUUUGCAGUUAAAAAGAUGCCCUUCCCUUUUAUUUUUCUUCCUCUAGAAAGAUCCAAGAGACAAAAAGGGGGGGCCAGUGUACUAACCAGCUGUAACAGUUUCUAAAAAUACGGUCAUCUUUUUGUUUGAUUAGAAAUACCCAUACUUCAACCAACAAACAUGUUACAGAAACGUGGUUUGUUUUUCGUUUUUUUUUUCCAGCAAAGCACAUAAAGAGAUUAGUAUAACAGCAGAAAUUGGAAGCUUGGAGUUUUGAUUUCUAGCCACACCUGUGUUGUCUUGUGGGAAGCUGGGCAGAUAAUUUAAUCCCUUCUAACUUGUUCUCUGUGUCUCUAAUGUAGGUAUUAGAAAGCUGCAUCAUCAGUCUGCUGUAGAGUAUCUAGUGU